rnacentral:rRNA from 1 species
GUCCUAGCCGUAAACGGUGCACGUUUGCUGUAAAAGGAAUCGACCCCUUUUGUGGCGAAGCUAACGCGUUAAACGUGCCGCCUGGGAAGUACGGUCGCAAGAUUAAAACUCAAAGAAAUUGACGGGGGCCUGCACAAGCGGUGGAGUAUGUGGCUCAAUUCGAUGCAACGCGAAGAACCUUACCUGGCCUUGACAUGUAUCUAGUAGAAGGGUGAAAGCCUGACGAGAUAGCAAUAUCAGGAUACACAGGUGCUGCAUGGCUGUCGU